AUUGAACGCUGGCGGCAUGCUUUACACAUGCAAGUCGAACGGCAGCGCGGGCUUCGGCCUGGCGGCGAGUGGCGAACGGGUGAGUAAUGCAUCGGAACGUGCCCAGUAGUGGGGGAUAGCCCGGCGAAAGCCGGAUUAAUACCGCAUACGACCUGAGGGUGAAAGCGGGGGACCGAAAGGCCUCGCGCUAUUGGAGCGUCCGAUGUCGGAUUAGCUAGUUGGUGGGGUAAAGGCUUACCAAGGCGACGAUCCGUAGCUGGUCUGAGAGGACGACCAGCCACACUGGAACUGAGACACGGCCCAGACUCCUACGGGAGGCAGCAGUGGGGAAUAUUGGACAAUGGGCGCAACCCUGAUCCAGCCAUGCCGCGUGGGGGAAGAAGGCCUUCGGGUUGUAAAGCGCUUUUGUUGGGAAAGAAAACCUGUGGGUUAAUACCCCGGUGGGAUGACGGUACCGGAAGAAUAAGCACCGGCUAACUACGUG
rnacentral:rRNA from 1 species